rnacentral:rRNA from 1 species
AUGAACGUUGGCGGCGUGGAUUAGGCAUGCAAGUCGAGCGAGAACCCCGCAAGGGGGGACAGCGGCGAAAGGGACAGUAAUGUGUAGAUUAUCUGCCCUCAGGUCCGGGAUAGCUGCGGGAAACUGCAGGUAAUACCGGAUAACAUCUCCGGAUCAAAGGUGUGAUUCCGCCUGAGGAUGAGUCUGCAUCCUAUUAGCUAGUUGGUGGGGUAAUGGCCUACCAAGGCAUUGAUGGGUAGCAGGUGUGAGAGCACGACCUGCGUCAUUGGGACUGAGACACUGCCCAGACACCUACGGGUGGCUGCAGUCGAGAAUCUUCGGCAAUGGGCGCAAGCCUGACCGAGCGACGCCGCGUGUGGGAUGAAGGCCUGCGGGUUGUAAACCACUGUCAGAGGGGAUGAAAUGCAGGUGGGUUCUCCCAUCUGUUUGACAUAGCCUCAGAGGAAGGACGGGCUAAGUUCGUG